UACGUAGGGGGCAAGCGUUGUCCGGAUUUAUUGGGCGUAAAGAGCGCGCAGGCGGUCGUUCAAGUCGAGUGUGAAAGCCCCCGGCUCAACUGGGGAGGGUCACUCGAUACUGAUCGACUCGAAGGCAGAAGAGGGAAGCGGAAUUCCCGGUGUAGUGGUGAAAUGCGUAGAUAUCGUAAGGAAGACCAGUGGCGAAGGCGGGUCUCUGGACAGUUCCUGACGCUGAGGCACGAAGGUCAGGGGAGCAAACGGG
rnacentral:rRNA from 1 species